UGCUUCUCUGCUGACGAGCGGCGGACGGGUGAGUAAUGUAUGGGGAUCUGCCUGAUGGCGGGGGAUAACUACUGGAAACGGUAGCUAAUACCGCAUAAUGUCUUCGGACCAAAGCGGGGGACCUCCGGGCCUCGCGCCAUCAGAUGAACCCAUAUGGGAUUAGCUAGUAGGUGAGGUAACGGCUUACCUAGGCGACGAUCCCUAGCUGGUCUGAGAGGAUGAUCAGCCACACUGGGACUGAGACACGGCCCAGACUCCUACGGGAGGCAGCAGUGGGGAAUAUUGCACAAUGGGCGCAAGCCUGAUGCAGCCAUGCCGCGUGUAUGAAGAAGGCCUUCGGGUUGUAAAGUACUUUCAGUCGGGAGGAAGGUGG
rnacentral:rRNA from 1 species